AACGAACGCUGGCGGCAUGCCUAACACAUGCAAGUCGAACGAGACCUUCGGGUCUAUUGGCGCACGGGUGCGUAACGCGUGGGAACCUGCCCUUAGGUUCGGAAUAACUCCCCGAAAGGGGUGCUAAUACCGGAUAAUGUCUUCGGACCAAAGAUUUAUGGCCUUUGGAUGGGCCCGCGUUGGAUUAGCUAGUUGGUAGGGUAAAAGCCUACCAAGGAGACGAUGCAUAGCUGGUCUGAGAGGAUGAUCAGCCACACUGGGACUGAGACACGGCCCAGACUCCUACGGGAGGCAGCAGUGGGGAAUAUUGGACAAUGGGCGAAAGCCUGAUCCAGCAAUGCCGCGUGAGUGAUGAAGGCCUUAGGGUUGUAAAGCUCUUUUACCCGGGAUGAUAAUGACAGUACCGGGAGAAUAAGCUCCGGCUAACUCCGUG
rnacentral:rRNA from 1 species